rnacentral:tRNA from 1 species
GGUUUAAAGAAUAUUUGAGUGCAAAUCAAAUGGUGGGUCAGGUUGGCCCUUAAGCCU